rnacentral:misc_RNA from 1 species
AUAUUUUUGCAUUGAUACAGCUGUUCCACACAUGAAUGUUUUUUCACUUGCAUCAUCAAGGAUGCUGAGUAGCUCCUCAGAAGACAAAGGAAACCUGGAAGGCCUGCCUUGGAUAAUAUCCAAAAGGGCAGAACCAGCCCUCAAACAAUAUUGUGGAAGAGAAGAAAAUCCUGGUUUCCGAACAAGUGCCAUCAAUGACUUUACAAU